rnacentral:rRNA from 1 species
GGAUGAACGCNGGCGGCGUGCCUAAUACAUGCAAGUCGAGCGAACUGAUUAGAAGCUUGCUUCUAUGACGUUAGCGGCGGACGGGUGAGUAACACGUGGGCAACCUGCCUGUAAGACUGGGAUAACUUCGGGAAACCGAAGCUAAUACCGGAUAGGAUCUUCUCCUUCAUGGGAGAUGAUUGAAAGAUGGUUUCGGCUAUCACUUACAGAUGGGCCCGCGGUGCAUUAGCUAGUUGGUGAGGUAACGGCUCACCAAGGCAACGAUGCAUAGCCGACCUGAGAGGGUGAUCGGCCACACUGGGACUGAGACACGGCCCAGACUCCUACGGGAGGCAGCAGUAGGGAAUCUUCCGCAAUGGACGAAAGUCUGACGGAGCAACGCCGCGUGAGUGAUGAAGGCUUUCGGGUCGUAAAACUCUGUUGUUAGGGAAGAACAAGUACGAGAGUAACUGCUNGUACCUGACGGUACCUA